UGAAGCGAUAAUUAAGUAUAUAUGUAUAUCUAUUACUGAGAUGUAACUUGGGUUGCCGGGUUGUGAAUUUUGGUGGAAAAUGCGCGAAUUUUAAUGACGUAUUUAAAACUGCCUAUCGGUGUCUUUGGUCUGUCGUGAAAUGUGGGAAGUAGGGAGAAAUUCUGGAAAAUCGCUGUCGGUUCUCAGGACGAUGAUUUUGUGUUUCUCACUUCGUCAUCGUGCCUCAUUUCGGACAGCGGGGUCUGUGCCACAUUCUCACGUGCCAGCCGCGGACACUGAUAGUGUGGCGAUUAAAUAGUGGGCAGAUUAUAUAAUAAAGCAUCGAGCAAAUUCUCAU